rnacentral:rRNA from 1 species
CCUACGGGAGGCAGCAGUGAGGAAUAUUGGUCAAUGGACGAGAGUCUGAACCAGCCAAGUAGCGUGAAGGAUGACUGCCCUAUGGGUUGUAAACUUCUUUUAUAUGGGAAUAAAAUGUUCCACGUGUGGGAUUUUGUAUGUACCAUAUGAAUAAGGAUCGGCUAACUCCGUGCCAGCAGCCGCGGUAAUACGUAGGGGGCAAGCGUUAUCCGGAUUUACUGGGUGUAAAGGGGGCGCAGACGGCGAUGCAAGCCAGGAGUGAAAGCCCGGGGCCCAACCCCGGGACUGCUCUUGGAACUGCGUGGCUGGAGUGCAGGAGGGGCAGGCGGAAUUCCUGGUGUAGCGGUGAAAUGCUUAGAUAUCACGAAGAACUCCGAUUGCGAAGGCAGCUUACUAAACUGCCACUGACAUUGAUGCUCGAAAGUGUGGGUAUCAAACAGGAUUAGAUACCCCAGUAGUC